rnacentral:sRNA from 1 species
UUCCAGGUGGCCUGGUGCUGCUGCUGCUCUGGAGAACACCUGGAGGAGAACAAAGGCCCACGAUGAACGGUUCUCAGCCUAGUGUGCAUAUGAGAAUCACACAGGGAGUUUCAACACACACCAACCCCUGUGCCCGACCCAGACCCUGGGAAACCGCUGAGGGCAGGAACGUGCGCAUCGACCCCAGUAGCCUGUCCUUCAACAUGUGGAAGGAGAUCCCCAUCCCCUUCUAUCUCUCCGUCUACUUCUUUGACGUCAUGAACCCCAGCGAGAUCCUGAAGGGCGAAAAGCCGCAGGUGCGGGAGCGCGGGCCCUACGUGUACAGGGAGUUCAGGCACAAAAGCAACAUCACCUUCAACAACAAUGACACCGUGUCCUUCCUCGAGUACCGCACCUUCCAGUUCCAGCCCUCCAAGUCCCACGGCUCGGAGAGCGACUACAUCGUCAUGCCCAACAUCCUGGUCUUGGUGAGGCUG